rnacentral:rRNA from 1 species
UUCCCUAGUACGGCGAGUGAAGCGGGAAGAGCUCAACAUUGUAAUCUGGCUGCUUCGCAGUCCGAGUUGUAGUCUAUAGAAGCAUGAUCCGCGCCGGCCCUUGGGCAUGUCUGUUGGAACGCAGUGUCAAAGAGGGUGAAAAUCCCGUACAUACCAAGGACGACCGUGUGCAUUGUGGUCUGCUCUCUAAGAGUCGAGUUGUUUGGGAAUGCAGCUCUAAUUGGGUGGUAAAUUCCAUCUAAAGCUAAAUAUCGACGAGAGACCGAUAGCGAACAAGUACAGUAAUGGAAAGAUGAAAAGUAGCCUGCAGAGGCAAUGAAACAAUACGUGAAACCGUUUGUAGGGAAGCGAUGGAACCUUUUCACGCUGCGAGGGUUCAGCUUGGCUUCGGCUUAGUGUAUUCCCUCGUUUUGCGGACCAGCAUCAGUUUGCUUCGCAGUAUAAGGGUGAUUGGAACGUGGCUUCUCCGGAAGUGUUAUAGCCUUUCACUGGAUGCUGUGUCGCAGACUGAGGACUGCAGUGCGCCGUAAGGCAUGGUCUUCGGGCCACGAGCACUUAGGAUGCUGGGCGAAUGGGUUUCAACGACCCGUCUUGACCACCCGGACCAAAAAC